rnacentral:rRNA from 1 species
UACGGAGGGUGCGAGCGUUAAUCGGAAUUACUGGGCGUAAAGCGCGCGUAGGUGGCUUGGCACGCCGGUUGUGAAAGCCCCGGGCUCAACCUGGGAACGGCAUCCGGAACGGCCAGGCUAGAGUGCAGGAGAGGAAGGUAGAAUUCCCGGUGUAGCGGUGAAAUGCGUAGAGAUCGGGAGGAAUACCAGUGGCGAAGGCGGCCUUCUGGCCUGACACUGACACUGAGGUGCGAAAGCGUGGGUAGCAAACAGGAUUAGAAACCCGCGUAGUCC